AGAGUUUGAUCAUGGCUCAGAUUGAACGCUGGCGGCAGGCCUAACACAUGCAAGUCGAGCGGUAGCACAGAGAGCUUGCUCUCGGGUGACGAGCGGCGGACGGGUGAGUAAUGUCUGGGAAACUGCCUGAUGGAGGGGGAUAACUACUGGAAACGGUAGCUAAUACCGCAUAACGUCGCAAGACCAAAGUGGGGGACCUUCGGGCCUCAUGCCAUCAGAUGUGCCCAGAUGGGAUUAGCUAGUAGGUGGGGUAACGGCUCACCUAGGCGACGAUCCCUAGCUGGUCUGAGAGGAUGACCAGCCACACUGGAACUGAGACACGGUCCAGACUCCUACGGGAGGCAGCAGUGGGGAAUAUUGCACAAUGGGCGCAAGCCUGAUGCAGCCAUGCCGCGUGUGUGAAGAAGGCCUUCGGGUUGUAAAGCACUUUCAGCGGGGAGGAAGGCGUUAAGGUUAAUAACCUCACCGAUUGACGUUACCCGCAGAAGAAGCACCGGCUAACUCCGUGCCAGCAGCCGCGGUAAUACGGAGGGUGCAAGCGUUAAUCGGAAUUACUGGGCGUAAAGCGCACGCAGGCGGUCUGUCAAGUCGGAUGUGAAAUCCCCGGGCUCAACCUGGGAACUGCAUUCGAAACUGGCAGGCUAGAGUCUUGUAGAGGGGGGUAGAAUUCCAGGUGUAGCGGUGAAAUGCGUAGAGAUCUGGAGGAAUACCGGUGGCGAAGGCGGCCCCCUGGACAAAGACUGACGCUCAGGUGCGAAAGCGUGGGGAGCAAACAGGAUUAGAUACCCUGGUAGUCCACGCCGUAAACGAUGUCGAUUUGGAGGUUGUGCCCUUGAGGCGUGGCUUCCGGAGCUAACGCGUUAAAUCGACCGCCUGGGGAGUACGGCCGCAAGGUUAAAACUCAAAUGAAUUGACGGGGGCCCGCACAAGCGGUGGAGCAUGUGGUUUAAUUCGAUGCAACGCGAAGAACCUUACCUGGUCUUGACAUCCACAGAACUUUCCAGAGAUGGAUUGGUGCCUUCGGGAACUGUGAGACAGGUGCUGCAUGGCUGUCGUCAGCUCGUGUUGUGAAAUGUUGGGUUAAGUCCCGCAACGAGCGCAACCCUUAUCCUUUGUUGCCAGCGGUCCGGCCGGGAACUCAAAGGAGACUGCCAGUGAUAAACUGGAGGAAGGUGGGGAUGACGUCAAGUCAUCAUGGCCCUUACGACCAGGGCUACACACGUGCUACAAUGGCAUAUACAAAGAGAAGCGACCUCGCGAGAGCAAGCGGACCUCAUAAAGUAUGUCGUAGUCCGGAUUGGAGUCUGCAACUCGACUCCAUGAAGUCGGAAUCGCUAGUAAUCGUAGAUCAGAAUGCUACGGUGAAUACGUUCCCGGGCCUUGUACACACCGCCCGUCACACCAUGGGAGUGGGUUGCAAAAGAAGUAGGUAGCUUAACCUUCGGGAGGGCGCUUACCACUUUGUGAUUCAUGACUGGGGUGAAGUCGUAACAAGGUAACCGUAGGGGAACCUGCGGUUGGAUCACCU
rnacentral:rRNA from 1 species